rnacentral:tRNA from 4 species
GCCGAAGUGGUGGAACUGGUAGACGCGCUGGCUUCAGGAGCCAGUGGGCGCAAGCUCGUGGGGGUUCGAGUCCCCCCUUCGGCA